rnacentral:rRNA from 1 species
UACGUAGGGGGCAAGCGUUGUCCGGAAUUAUUGGGCUUAAAGGGUGCGUAGGCGGCUCUGUAAGUCAGUGCUGAAAUAUCCCAGCUUAACUGGGAGGGUGGCAUUGAUACUGCGGGGCUAGAGUACAGAUGAGGUAGGCGGAAUUGACGGUGUAGCGGUGAAAUGCUUAGAUAUCGUCAAGAACACCUAUAGCGAAGGCAGCUUACUAGGCUGUAACUGACGCUGAGGCACGAAAGUGUGGGGAUCAAACAGG